GUCUGUCUCACUAUGCGCGAUUUGUUUCCUCCGGAGAAAUGUACAGUUACGCUGUCUGAGAGUACUUAAAGGUACAGUGAUUGCCCGCAGGGAAUAAGGGGAGGUAACCAAACUAGCUGAGACAGCUACAAUCUAUAAUGACAACUCAUGAACUGAAGUUGCAGCGCUCAACUUGUCAAAGCGGAGAGGCAGCCAGCGUGCCUUGCGAUGUUGUCUCAAAUCGCGAGAGAUUUAACACACAUACUGACAAAACACGUUUUCAGAAUGUAAGUGGGCUCGGGAAGUUACAUCCUGAACCAUCUGCUCAACACAUCCACAAUAAGAAGGAAUCCGAAGCUGCUGCGACUUCUUCACCGUCACUGCACAUCGCAGGCCAACAGAAAAGCAGCAGAGAUGUGCAGAUCAGGCAGAUAAUACUGCUCCAGUCUAAGAAAGACUUCAACAAGACAUCUAAGGAUCAAAAGGAAUCUGCCAGAUUCACUACCGUUAUCUAUAUCAGUCUUCCCACCAAAGGAAACAAAAAAGACACAACGGAGGACACUGAAGAAACAUUGCCAGUUGAGAUUGACAUUGAUGGAGCCAAAAAGAAAACGGCUAAUCAACACCACACAGAGCAAAGGGACAUAAUUUCACCAACCUGUAACAAAUCGUGUGGUGAAUUAUUAAAGGCUGGAGAUGGGCCAAAAGCACCCUUUGAUGAAGAUCGCAUUUCCACUCUGCAAAAUAAACAUAUACUUAACUUACCUAACCAGAGACAAGAUACAGGAAUACAGCACAACAUAAGCCUUAAUGAACAUUUGCAAACAGUCCACAGUGACACACACAAACAUUUUACUCAACCAGCUUUUGAGAUACAAACAGAAUUCAGCAAGCGCUCGAAUGCAAACAAGGAAUCUGGAGCCAGUGACCUUCAUAGAGAGGAUACUCCAACAACUCAACAGUACCACAAUAAUCUAAAAGUACUAAACCAAACAUUAUCUUUUCACACAACUCAUUCUGGAAGUACCCCUGAGCCAGAACUGAGUCUCAUCAAUCCUGCCUCUGAUAUGUUAACAUCUGCCACGACCUCAGUUCUUUCUCCACCUUGGAGUGGUCAUCUUAGAAGACCCAAACAAGGCAGCAGUGAGCUAGAGCGUGAACCCAAAAAUUGUGGACAGAAUGUCAACCCAUCUACCUUAUCCCACCAAGAUCGUCUGCAACAACAGUUUAUCACAGCUCGCAGGCAGCCUGCUGAACAUGUGUUGCAAGUAUCCAAUGACGAUUACAUGCAGUUUACUGCUGAAACCAGCAACAACUCUCCUGAUUGGCAAAAAGAGAACAAUUCCCCAAAUGUCACAACAGCAAUUCAGUCAAAAAGACGCAUUUUGAAAUGUUCCUCUGUAGACACAUACAGAGGCACGAUGUACAACAAUGCAGAAUUACACUGUUCUCCCACAUCUCUGGACACUGGUCAGGUACUCAAGUGGCCCCACUCUGAGGAACGUAGAGGGUACAGAAUGUCAAAGACUGAAGAUCAAAGCAAGCAUUUCAAAUCAUUGAGCUCCAAGCCAACAACAAGCAGCCUACUUCUCUCCUUAAGAAGAUCAAAUUUGAGAAGGUCCAAUGCUGAACCCACACAAAUGGAGUCUCAGAUAACAAAGUCUGUCACAUCCCAAACAUUGCCAAACAGGAGUGUUUUGAAGAAUGCUCAAUCAUACACCCCUUCUGUUACCCCUGAUGGCCAUUCCGUAGAAACACUUGUGUCAUACCCAUUUCCAGACAUGCAUUCAAAAACAGAGGGAAUAACAGACACAAAUCAUUUAUCUUUUUCACCCAGAAUUAAGAGGAUUGUGGCAUUAAGGACACCACAGUUGCUAAACAAAUCAGAGACAGACCAAAGGUUAAAGAGACCAGAGGGUUCUGUUGCUAGAGCUGAAGAGAAGCCAUUCCCUCCCUCCACAACCACAUCCAGCCAUCCUAGGAUUGUCAAAGCUCAGCAGCAUUCUCAUUCAGUUCUUUUGAGCAAAUAUUUCAAUACAGAGAACAGUGAUUCAGUGAAAAUAAAUACCAUUAACAAGACAAAGCUGCAUAAUCCGAACACCACAACUUCUCUCAAAGAAAAAACUAAUGUUAAAUUAGAUUAUCCUCAAACUGUUAGAAAUUUAGAAUCACAAAGCACACAAAAUAUUCCUGUCAGGAAUUCAACGAGCAUGCAAACCUUCACAGACAGUCUUAAAUUCUCACCCAGUAAAGAAAACUCUCCUGUAGAUGGAAACACCACAACAAUUGGGAGGCAGAUAUAUCUGGACUCUAAGAAACAUUCUGGCUCAAGUCAAAGUUCAAUGGACCUUUCAAGUCCUCUCUCCCCAAGUAGACCUAUCAGAGGCAUUUGUAUUCCGAGCAUCUAUUCAUACCUAAGAGAGUCAAGCCCAAAUGUAUCCACCCCUAAUUCCCCUUCCACCCCUUCUUUCCACUUACAAAGAGUUGUAACUUCUUCCUCUCCUAAACAAGAUGAAGCCAUAAUACCACAUGGAAAAUCAAGAUUUUCUUUUGACCUCAGCCCAAUCGAGCCACAUGUAAAAGCAUCAAAAAGAGGCUCUCAUGGCUCCAGUGCUCAUAAAACUCCAGCUCAAUCUCUGCCUCCUGAUUUUGGAAGAAGAUCAGUACCCUGUCUCAGCAUGUCUCCAUAUUCUACCUUAAUCUCCUCAAGGCCUGCCCUCAACAGCACUUUACAAGCACUGUCCUCUCCACCCAAACGACAUGAUCGAUCUACAUCUGAUAUUGCAACCAUACGUCUUGACCCUAAAAAAGGUGACCAAAUCUCUUCUCCCUCCAUAUACACAAGCAUGACAAGGAGACUAAAGGAACAGGUAACACCACCUGAUAAAGAACAGAGAACAGAAAAUUCAGUUCAUGCUUAUACUUGUGCCCUAGAUAAUCACAGACCUGUCCAGCCAUGCCUCUCACAAACUGCACCUGUUGCAAGUUUUGUCUCGGAAAGCCCAAGUAUAACCCCACACCCAAGGCAGCAACAAAAAAAUUAUGGCUUGAUGGCACUUCAGUUUGAUAAGGCUAAUGUUUAUCCCAAGUGCAGGAGUCAGAAAGAGACAUAUUUACUGUCUAAUAAACUCACAGCUAAAAGUGAGACCCCACUUACAGCCAAGAAGGAGACUACCGCUUUGCAUAUACAUGAGAGAUUGCAGGAAAUGCAGAGCCCCAAUUCAAAGAGAGCACUCUUUGCAUUACGGGUUAAGAAAGACAUUGUCACUUUAGAUCCCAUGACAGAGAAAGAAGUUGUUCCCACUCAGUAUUUAAAAACCAAAAGAAAUUCACCUGUAUUUAAAACAAGCAGUAGGAUUGACCAGAUGUUAAACCGCUUGAAAAUGACAUUUAGUGUCAAACGUUCAGAAAGCACUCUUGAAACAGUCAUAAAUAAAAGUGGGACUGCCACUCAGCAACCCUCUCACACUGAAACUUGGGGAAAAAACAUGAGAGUGGAGAAAUUAUCUUCUGGGAUCCAUUGGGAGUCCCCCAAUACAUCUUUGGUCACUGAUAAAGCAUAUUUGCCCUCUCUUGAGUCACUGUCACCAUUAACAUUAAAGAAAUCUGAGAAUGCACUAAAUGUGAACAAGCAAAACAGGAGUAAGGAUGACAAAAACUGUUCUGGGAUCCAAUGGGAGCCCCCCACCUCAUCUUUGAGGACUGAUAAAGCACCUUGUCCCUCUUCUGAAUCAUUGUCACCAGUAACAUUAAAGAAAUCUGAUAAUACACUAAAUGUGGAUCAGCAAAAUAGGUUUAAGGAUGAAAAAAAGUGUUCUCAGAGUCAGUGGGAGCACUCCAACUCAUCUUUGACCAUGGAUGAAACAUUACCCUUUUUGGAUUACAUGUCACUAUUAAAACUAUCACAAAAGAGGUGUAGUGAUGAAAAUGGAAACCAGUCUAGCAGCAGCAGCUAUAGUCCAUGCAUGCUAAAGCCCCAUGGUAUGAACCGUUCUGCCUCCUUGCCACAUUACAAAAAGUCCUCGGUUGGUCCUUCGUCACCCUUUUAUCUGUUUGAUUUUGAUUCAGAAGACAUUCAGAAUGACAAUGUGUUUUAUAGUCCAGUGAGCAAAAAAAGGAAUUUGCUUUGUGAGUAUGACAACAUCUCUCAGCUGAGCACUACCAAGAGGACUGAACAGCAAAACCUCACGGGGUCUCGAUUGUCCUCGUCUCCUGCUGAUUUAAAGUACGGUCUGGAGAAUGGGCGGUCUUUUUCGGUCAGCAGUGUGAUUUCAAGCCGCCCAUCAGGUCCUAAAAUAAUCUCAACAAGUAGCAUCAGUGACCUUUCAAGUUUAGAUGACUUUGACAGUAAGGGGAGCUAUUCAAAAUCUUACUCUCCAAUUAAUAAUAGCAAUUCCCCUAGCUAUGGUGCCAAAUAUGUUACCGGUAUCCAAACCCAACCUGGAUGUACAUUGUCAGAUGAUCAUUUUUGGUAUCCAGAUAAACAGGAAAUCUCGUCCGGCUUUUGGGAUGAUGCAGACCCAACACCACCUCCCUCACCACCUUUUUCCCCUUCAUCUCGUCGCAUGUCCCAGGCACCCGCUAACUCUUCCCCCAUCCAAACAACUCCAGACAAUCUAUCUCCUCGUGGAAUCCGGCCAUCAAGGAGUUACACAACCAGCUUGACUGUCUUUGAGGAGUCUAGUUCUGACACCACAACUGAUGAUGAAUACUACCUUGAUGAUGGUGAUGAGGAAGGAACAGAACUUUAGUGAAAAGUAUUAUGCGUUCUAAAUGUUCAGUUUCAUCACUUUUGUAGUUUGGAUAUAUUUUACAUUUACAUUUAUGCAUUUGGCAGAUGCUUUUAUCCAAAGCGAUUACAGUGCACUUAUUACAGGGACAAUCCCCCCGGAGCAACCUGGAGUUAAGUGCCUUGCUCAAGGACACAAUGGUGGUGGCUGUGGGGAUCAAACCAGCACCCUUAUGAUUAACAGUUUAGUGCUUUAGCCCACUAUGCCACCACCACUCCGGAUAUAUAUACUGGAUGUUUCAAAAUUGGCUAUAUUCUGUGCAAUGGGAUUUAUAUGGCAAAUCUAUUAAAACCACAGAAACAUUAGUUCUCAGUCAGACCAAACUUAAAUUACAAGAGAAUCUAGUAAUUGCAGUACAGCUCAUUUAAUAAGCUCAUAUCAUUUUUUUGAUAAUAUCUUUUCUACGUAAUACAAAACAAAAAAUAUUACUAUUAUUAGGGGCUUGUAAAAUCUCUGGUACUUGAGAAUAACAAGAUUUUAUUUAAUUAGUUAUGUAUUUACAAUGCAAAGUAAUGUUGUUUUAUGAGGUGUUUUGAUACUUACUGGAUACUGUGGCCUUGACAUUGUGAAUUCUCACGUCAUGUUCCUUUUGUAGUGGGCUGCCUCCUGUAGGUCAUAAGCUGUUUCAUACAGGUAUUUGAAAGCACAGCGUGUCAGACACAAACCAUUAUUCUUUCAGACAGACAUUCUAUACAUAGUAACUGCCAACUAAGAAACUGAACAACAAAUGUGGUUUGUGUGCGUGUGUGUAUUCUUGUAAGGUCAUUUCAAGAAUGUCUUGAUUACUAACGGGUAAUUGUCAUAUUUCUACAAAAAGACCAUAGGCUUAAUAUAUUGACUAAUAUUGAUGUUAUAUUGAAAGGAAACAACGUUAUAAAAGAAUAUUAAUGAUCAUUGCAAAAAUUGAUCACUGUGUAAAAAAAAUUAUAUAGCUAUAUUGUAAAUAAAAAGAGUAAUUUCGCAUUUAAAACGCAUUUGACCGUGACUCAAGUGAAACUGUAGAGUUAAUCACUAACACAGCAAUUAGCUGCUAUGCCUUGGUAAACUGUAUGUCCUUUGAUUACACAGAAACCGCAUUACAGCUGAUUAAGUCAGCCACAGUCUUGCGUGUUCUUCUAUAUUUAUAUUUCUUAACAUUAAAUGUAAUUAAACGCAGUACAGUGAUAUACCUCGAAAUCGCAGCCCUAUAGGCGCUCUUCUGUGUUUAUCUUUAACUAAUGCUGCAUGUGGAAGCUUGCGCAACUAAAUGGCUGUUUGAAAAUAACUUCACUCUUUUCAUUAACAAAAUAACAAAAAACUGUAUUGUUCUAUAUUUUCACAAUUUGUACUUGUUCAGAGAGACUGUGAUCAUAGAUAUCUGCUGAACCUUUGAAUGUUUUGAAUGAGUUUGUUUUGACGUUGCUCCGGAAACGACUCUUCGGCUCUGCGUGUAGUCACCCGUCCUAAUAAAGGAAUUCAGUCAUAUUUCCGACAAGCUUGAUUUUGUCAUUUUUUUUUCUGCACGGAUGUUUAUUCUUUUGUUGCACUUUUAGCCUCCUGCACUGCUGUUUUGUGUUGCUUCUAACUGGUUUAUGUCAUUGUGAACAUAUGUUCAAACACUUUGUUUACUAUUCGAUAUUCACCGGAAGCUGGAUUUGCUUCGGAUAUCAGGCAUCAGAACAUGCAUCAUAAAGAGAAGCUUUUGCUUCAAGCUUCAACAGCAGCAUAUGUGCAAGCAUGAGCAAGAAAAUGGUAGACCACACAUGCUCUUUUGACAGGAUACUGCUGUUUUCAAACACCUUAAGAAACUUGUGAGCUUCCAUAAUCAAGGGGACCCACAUCUUCUUCUCAGAUUUAUUAACCCUGCAGAGGCAAACAUUCUGGAUGCUGCUUCAGGGGUACUCGUCCG